rnacentral:lncRNA from 1 species
CACAAACAGGGCUAACACAGAAUGCUUUAUAUACUGUAUAUUUACACAAAGCAGUCAAGGUCUGAGAGCAUCCAGCAAUUUUGAUGCAACAUAAUAUUCAGAGCAAGACAUUCCUACAAAUGAAUGGUCGAAUAGAAAUUCACUGCAACGACUUGGUAGCUAGUGGUAUAAUACAUAGUUGGGCAAUAACAGUGCCGAAGCAAGUGGUUCUUCGAAUUGAUUGAUCAUCACUCCCGAACUACCUGUGCAAGGAAGGUAUCCUUGUUUAUUAGAAUGACUAAUAGAAAUACACUGUAAGACCUUUGUGUAAGAAAGGCAUCAUCUAAGCUUAACACAUGACAUGACAUUGUUUAAGUUUUCUAAUUUUUCUUCAUCGAAUCAUCUUAAAUUUGGCUUCAAAUUUUAUUAAGUAAUCCAGUUCAAUAAAUAUAAGUACACAUAAUCUAUACAGCAUUAAAACUGGUGCGGGACUCGCUCACUGUUCAAAGCAAUUUUACAUGCACUCGCUCACUCAUUCUGAUGCUGUGUAUCUAAUAAACUUGAUAAUCCUAACUGAUAGUAAUUUCACGUGUGCUCUCUAACUCCUAAGGUACUGGUUCAUCUUAGAAGGUACUCCCUCCGUUCCAAAAUAGAUGAUUAAACUUUAUACUAACUUUAGUACAAAGUUGAGUCAUCUAUUUUGGAACGGAGGGAGUAUUGUUUUGUGCGUUCUACAUGUACCUGGUGGUUUCCACAGUUGCAGAAUCUUCUGCCAAUUUGGGUCCUGUAAAUUGGUAUAAUCCCUUUCAACCAUAGAAACCUUAGCUUUAUCAGUAAGCUUUAAUUCAAGAAAAUCUGCACGAUCAAGCUCUACGGAAAUGCAUCCUAUUGACCUUCGUGUUUCCUCAAGCUUCUUCAUAAGCUCAUAUCAAGUAACUAUUGUGCAAGUUGUAUCAUUUAUCCGAUUGCACCUAUUGUGCAAGUUGUAGUUGCAGACCAAAGCCAACAAACUUUGCAAAUAGCAGGCAAUGCAUAUAUAUAAAGUAACUAUUCAUUCAAACCCUUACCAGCAUCAUAUAAAGUAACUAUUCAUUCAAACCCUUACCAGCAUCAUAUAAAGUAACUAUUCAUUCAACAAAAUGAGACAUAAUAAAGAGAAUAUUUACACCUGGGAUUUUCACCACUGAUCUGGUCAUGCUUAUGUCGUCCAUAGUGCCGCCACGUCGCCUUGACAUACCUCGUCGACAAAAAUAAAAAGAACCAGUCAGACAAAUUAGGGUAGAAACAUGAGUUGAAGCAGAGUACAACUUCAUAAUGUGACCAUAAGCAUGAAUCAAAACCUUGUUACAGAAAUAACUGUUCGUGCCAUGUACUAUGGGUGUCAGAAUCAUAGUAAUCUGACAUUGAAAGAAAUGCUUAUGAAACAAUACCAAACUUCAGAUAAUACAAUAUACAAUUAGAAGGUUGGUGACAUAUAGCCCACUCUUAUAGUAACUAUUCCAUCCAAAAUAGUUGCAGUGUACAAUGCUUCUUGUAAAAAACAUAAAACAUUCUAUUAACAAACAUAUGCUUGUACUAACUUGAAUUAAACUGUCAUACAGGUUAAUGGGCAAAGAUCAAUCACGUUUCAUUCAUACACCCAGCAGGAAAUAGCACCAAGGCACAAUCAUCCAACAGACACGACCCCGAUCAUUUAUAAACCUUCUAAACCUAAGAACCAACACCAGAUCACCUUGUCUCAUGUUGAGUGUCAAAGGAGGCAAGGCACCCCACUGCAACAGGCCGAGUCAGAUGCGGCCCAUCUUAGCUUGACGGACUGGUCCUCCUUCAGCCAAUCGCCAAGGAGGAGAGCUCAACUAAUCAAACAUGAGUUGUAUCCAGCUCA